rnacentral:rRNA from 1 species
AUUGAACGCUGGCGGCAGGCCUAACACAUGCAAGUCGAGCGGAGCGGCGGACGGGUGAGUAAUGACUAGGAAUCUGCCUGGUCGUGGGGGAUAACGUCCGGAAACGGGCGCUAAUAACGCCUACUCUCCGAUGAGCCUAGGUGGGAUUAGCUAGUUGGUGGGGUAAAGGCCUACCAAGGCGACGAUCCGUACCUGGUCUGAGAGGAUGAUCAGUCACACUGGAACUGAGACACGGUCCAGACUCCUACGGGAGGCAGCAGUGGGGAAUAUUGGACAAUGGGCGAAAGCCUGAUCCAGCCAUGCCGCGUGUAUGAAGAAGGUCUUCGGAUUGUAAAGCACUUUAAGUUGGGAGGCGUUACCAACAGAAUAAGCACUGGCUAACUUCGUGCCAGCCGCCGCGGUAAUAC